GACGAACCGUGCGAACGUUGUUCGGAAUCACUGGGCUUAAAGGGCGCGUAGGCGGGCCCUCAAGUCAGGGGUGAAAGCCCACGGCCCAACCGUGGAAGUGCCUCUGAUACUGGGGGUCUGGAGGGGGAUAGGGGCGUGCGGAACUUGGGGUGGAGCGGUGAAAUGCGUAGAUAUCGGGAGGAACACCAGUGGCGAAGGCGGCUUCCUGGACCAGCACUGACGCUGAUGCGCGAAAGCUAGGGGAGCAAACAGGG
rnacentral:rRNA from 1 species